rnacentral:lncRNA from 1 species
CGAGGAACUGUUUCAGGACACAAAGCCGGAAUCAGGAAGAGGGGAGCAGCCAGACAUGUCAGCGGAGCUCUGAGAACAGACGUGGCUUCCUGACAUGAUUUAUUGGUCCUCCAGCCAGCAGCAUGCUGGCUCCUUCUGCAUGAUGUCAUUUACCUCUUGCCAAAUGGAAGGGAGCUGGAGGGUUCCCCGACAUGUGGAGUCAUUCCUAAUGUGGGGCCACUACAAACAGAGACACCACUCAUUACCCUCUGGCUUGACAAUCCAGUGGUUGAUGCCUGCAAGUCUGUCACCAUGGAAACCACAACACAAGAAAAUAUACCUCCC